AGGUGUUACACUAACAAUUUUUUUAUUUUUUUUUGGGGGCUGAUUCUGUAACUUUUUUGGAUCUCAAGGAAAUUGCACUCACAUUAGAGCCUUUUGGAUUAACUACUGUUUGGGCAUGUAGUUGGUUUGAUCCUUGAGCUUGUUCCAUGACAUUCAUUGAAGUGGCAAGUUGUCCAAUUUGUGUUUGCAAAGUCUGAAUACUAUAAUCUAUUCG
rnacentral:lncRNA from 1 species